rnacentral:snoRNA from 2 species
UUGCACGGUGCUAACCCCGGGCUUGUCGGAUCUCUACCCUUUGAAGAAGGAAGCCCCAAUGCCUGUGCUAGAUCCACCAUGCCAUUCAGUGUUGCAGGCCCUGACGAAUCUCGUGAUUGGUCUGUGUCAAAGCAAUGGAUACAUAU